rnacentral:rRNA from 1 species
CCUACGGGAGGCUGCAGUGGGGGAUAUUGCACAAUGGGGGAAACCCUGAUGCAGCGACGCCGCGUGGGCGAAGAAGUAUUUCGGUAUGUAAAGCCCUAUCAGCAGGGAAGAAGUAAUGACGGUACCUGAGUAAGAAGCACCGGCUAAAUACGUGCCAGCAGCCGUGGUAAUACGGAGGGUGCAUGCGUUAUCCGGAUUUACUGGGUGCAAAGGGAGCGCAGGUGGCACGGCAAGCCUGCUGUGAAAGCCCGCGGCCCAACCGCGGGACUGCAGUGGAAACUGCCGGGCUGGAGUGCCAGAGAGGUAGGCGGAAUGCGUGGUGUAGCGGUGAAAUGCGUAGAUAUUGGGAAGAACACCAGUGGCGAAGGCAGCCUGCUGGACGGUGACUGACGCUGAGGCUCGAAAGCGUGGGGAGCGAACAGGAUUAGAUACCCCUGUAGUC